GAUGAACGCUAGCGGCAGGCCUAACACAUGCAAGUCGAGGGGUAACAGGGUAGCAAUAUCGCUGACGACCGGCGCACGGGUGAGUAACGCGUAUGCAACCUUCCUUUAACUGGGGGAUAGCCCGGAGAAAUUCGGAUUAAUACCCCAUAACAUCAUAGAAAGGCAUCUUUCAGUGAUUAAAGCUCCGGCGGUUAAAGAUGGGCAUGCGUGCCAUUAGCUAGUUGGUGAGGUAACUGCUCACCAAGGCUACGAUGGCUAGGGGGUCUGAGAGGAUGAUCCCCCACACUGGUACUGAGACACGGACCAGACUCCUUCGGGAGGCAGCAGUGAGGAAUAUUGGGCAAUGGGCGCAAGCCUGACCCAGCCAUGCCGCGUGAAGGAUGAAUGCCCUAUGGGUUGUAAACUUCUUUUGUACGGGACGAAACUCUUGGUCGUGACCGAGAUUGACGGUACCGCGCGAAUAAGCAUCGGCUAACUCCGUGCCAGCCGCCGCCGUAACAC
rnacentral:rRNA from 1 species